rnacentral:rRNA from 1 species
AGAGUUUGAUCAUGGCUCUUUACUAACGCUAGCGGCAGGCUUAACACAUGCAAGUCGAGGGGUAACAGGGAAUAGUUUACUAUUUUGCUGACGACCGGCGCACGGGUGAGUAACGCGUAUACAAUUUACCUUUUACAGGAGGAUAGCCCAGAGAAAUUUGGAUUAAUACUCCAUGGUAUUAUAGAAUCGCAUGGUUUUAUAAUUAAAGUUUCGGCGGUAAAAGAUGAGUAUGCGUCCUAUUAGCUGGUUGGUAAGGUAACGGCUUACCAAGGCGACGAUAGGUAGGGGUCCUGAGAGGGAGAUCCCCCACACUGGUACUGAGACACGGACCAGACUCCUACGGGAGGCAGCAGUGAGGAAUAUUGGUCAAUGGAGGCAACUCUGAACCAGCCAUGCCGCGUGCAGGAAGACUGCCCUAUGGGUUGUAAACUGCUUUUAUACAGGAAGAAACUUAUCCACGUGUGGAUAACUGACGGUACUGUACGAAUAAGGACCGGCUAACUCCGUGCCAGCAGCCGCGGUAAUACGGAGGGUCCAAGCGUUAUCCGGAAUCAUUGGGUUUAAAGGGUCCGUAGGCGGGCGAUUAAGUCAGAGGUGAAAUCCCACAGCUCAACUGUGGAACUGCCUUUGAUACUGGUUGUCUUGAGUUACAGUGAAGUAGAUAGAAUAUGUAGUGUAGCGGUGAAAUGCAUAGAUAUUACAUAGAAUACC